rnacentral:tRNA from 1 species
GGGGAUGUAGUUAACAAUAACAUUUAAUUUGCAAUUAAAAAGAACUAAAAUAAGUCUUCCUCA